rnacentral:piRNA from 2 species
UGGCCAAGGAUGAGAACUCUAACCUGACU